rnacentral:rRNA from 1 species
AAUGAACGCUGGCGGCGCGCCUAAUACAUGCAAGUCGAGCGAGAAGACGUAGCAAUACGUUUGUAAAGCGGCGAACGGGUGAGGAAUACAUGGGUAACCUACCCUCGAGUGGGGAAUAACUAGCCGAAAGGUUAGCUAAUACCGCGUACGCUCCUUGGACUUCGGUUCAGGGAGGAAAGCGAUACCGUGGGUAUCGCGCUCUUGGAUGGGCUCAUGUCCUAUCAGCUUGUUGGUGAGGUAACGGCUCACCAAGGCUUCGACGGGUAGCUGGUCUGAGAGGACGAUCAGCCACACCGGCACUGCGACACGGGCCAGACUCCUACGGGAGGCAGCAGUAAGGAAUAUUGCGCAAUGGGCGAAAGCCUGACGCAGCGACGCCGCGUGGGGGAUGAAGGUCUUCGGAUU